UACGAAGGGUGCAAGCGUUACUCGGAAUUACUGGGCGUAAAGCGUGCGUAGGUGGUUUCUUAAGUCUGCUGUGAAAGCCCCGGGCUCAACCUGGGAAUUGCAGUGGAUACUGGGAAGCUAGAGUGCGGUAGAGGGUAGUGGAAUUCCCGGUGUAGCGGUGAAAUGCGUAGAGAUCGGGAGGAACACCAGUGGCGAAGGCGGCACUCUGGGACGGUACUGACGCUGAGACGCGAAAGCGUGGGGAGCGAACAGG
rnacentral:rRNA from 1 species